GUCGGAGGGGGGGGGGUAACGACGGACGACAGUGGAGUUCCGCCGCUGAUGUUGAUGUCGGAGAUGAUGGAGACGGCGGCGGCAGUGGGAUUCCACGGCGGAAGCGCCGCCGUUCACGGCGGUGGUUCUUUUUUGUUUCCGACGGAUCUUAUGAUGAUGUUGUUUUGAAUCGGGUUCAGACCACGCUAGCUAACCGGUCAGAUUUUAUUCGGGUCAACAACGGUUUGCUCGGUUCGGUUUCGCAGUCAACUCAGUGCAGAUUGGUCCGGUUCACGUCAGUUAUGUUUCGGGUUCACGUUCGGGUUCCGGUUCAGCAAGUUUAAUUUUUGUUUUGAUUCGAGUGUUACUAGAAAUCAGUCGGGUUUUAGUUCUCGGGAAGAUCUUUCAGCUGCGUUUCGAGUCAAACCCAGUUGACUCGGUCAACCCCCGAGUCGACUCGGGUCAACUCGGUCCAACCCGGUCAACCUAGUUGACUCGGUCAACUCAGUCAACAUGGUCGGCGAAACGACGCCAAAGAAUUGGAGUGCUUUAGUUACACGCUAGCGAGUUCACAUUUUUGGAAGGACAUCACGGAAUCACGUUAAGCUAGCUUUGCACAGGAAUGUCAAG
rnacentral:lncRNA from 1 species